AUACUAAAAAUUUAUAAGGUCUUAAAAUAAAUUUUUUUUGCCUUUUUUUUAAAAUAAAAACAAAACACUGUUUUAAGUUAUUUAAAUAACUUAAAACAGACCUGAAUCCGGGUCGGAUUUUACCCGGAUCCGACCUGGAUCCGGCUAAGGGAGAUGCGCCUGGCGCAUCUCCCUCUGGGGGCGCAUCAUCGCAUAUGCGCGCGCACCCGGAGCCUUGACAUUCACUACAACAAGCGAUUGAAUGAACGACAAUUGCAACGCAAGCUAGAUUGUCAAGACGACUCCAUAGCAGCUGAAGACAUAAACUAUAACUCCGAAUGGAUAUGUGGAGAGGAAGGACCGGCCAAUGAGUGGGUUUAUGGUGAUGACGGUCUUACUUGGGUAGCCCUUGAAGAUGCAAUGGGCGUCAAUGAAACAGAUGGUCCAACUACUAGACAAUAUAGUAGAGGAGGACCAUCUCAAACAUUUGGACAAGAGGCUGAAUUUUCUGAGGAAGAAGAAGAAGACUUUUAGAACCAUCUUAUAAACUAUGUAUUUACAUUUUAAAUUUUAGACUAAUAGUUUAUUACUUUGUAUUACUAAUUUUAGGUUUUAAAAUUGAUGUAUAUAUUUUUUUAAAUAUUUCUGAAUUUACAGGAUUUUUUUGCAAAUAUGUAUAAGUUCAGGGUACUUUUUGCAAAUAUACCAAUAUUUUCAGGCGACCGCCUAGGCGGCGCCUAGGCGGCCAUGCGGUCAUGGCCAUCGCAUGAACGCCUAAAAAAGCUUGAUUGUUAUUUACUGUUAUACGAAAUUCACUCAUAUCCUUGAUUUGUGACAUCUGCAGGGUUUGUAAUCGACAGAAAUCUGGAUUGGAGGACAAGUCAAUAGCCAUCCUGCAAUGAAGAGUUCAAAUGAUUGAAAGCACCAGUGAUGGAGUUCUACCCAAGAAUUUUAAUUCAGAAAGAUCUGACCUGACGGACAGGAGUGCCUUAGAGCCAAGAUCGAUGAUCUCGGGUGUCCAAGGCUAACACUUCGGGAAUAUAUCCCUGAAAUUGAGGCUAAGCCCUAAUUGAAUAAUGCGGUUAGGCGAUCCAACAGAGUGCUCAAUACGGCUGGAAGAAGUCUGGAUCCGGCGUGAUCGUCAUGACGGCGGGAUGACGGCGGGAUGACGGCGUACUCGACGAUAGUCGGAUGUUUAGGGUUAUGAAAUUGUGAAAUUGAGAGAAUGUUUGUUGCCAAAAUUUUGUUAAUGAUUUCAUUCAAUGAUUACAACUUAUACUACUG
rnacentral:lncRNA from 1 species